rnacentral:rRNA from 1 species
UACGAAGGGGGCAAGCGUUGUUCGGAAUUACUGGGCGUAAAGGGCGUGUAGGCGGAUCGACCAGUCAGGGGUGAAAUCCCGGGGCUCAACCUCGGAACUGCCUUUGAUACUGUCGAUCUAGAGUCUGUGAGAGGGUGGCGGAAUACCCAGUGUAGAGGUGAAAUUCGUAGAUAUUGGGAACACCAGUGGCGAAGGCGGCUCACUGGCUCGUACUGACGCUGAGGUCGAAAGGUGGGGAGCAAACAGGAUUAGAUACCCGUAGUCC